CAUCUCAAAAAAAAAAAAAAAAAAAAGUUUUCCAGGAACAAGGGCAGAACUUAGCUACUGAGUUCUACCGAAGGCCAGGAUCUGAGUCAAGCACCAAGGUUAACUCCCAGGGAAGCCAAAUGUUCAUAAAAGGAAAUCUUUCCAAAUCACAAAUAUCAGGGCCUGCUAGGUAAAUUCUAGCUUCUCUGUGCCAAGGGCUGUGUUCCUACUCUCAAGCGCCACUCACUGACUGUCUGGGUGGUGCUGUGGGCUUCUGUACUUUUAGCUUCAUCAGCUGCACCUGUCCUCUUUUCCCAUAAGACGCCAGGACCCUCAGAAUCUUCCCUCUUACCAGAAAUUUGGGUUUUGGGCUGGGUCCCUGGACCGAAUUCUGACACUCUAAGUGUUUGCAGACUAUUUUGAUAGAGGUAGUGAUUAUGAUGCCAGAAAAGUGAAGCCAGUUUUUAUUAGAAUGUUGGCCAUCUUGAAUAAUCCAUUCCCCCACUUCCAUGGGACAUCUUCAAAGAGAUUUUUAAAAGACAAAUAUGAUCUCUACUAAUGAGAUAUCUUCAGAAGGUAGAAUUAAAGCAAAAUUAAUGUACACAGAAUUCCUAUUUCAAUAUAUUUAUUAUUCACAACAUUUCUACACACACACACACACACACACACACGCAUACACACACACACACACACAUUCCUGCACAGGUAAUUUAUAGUGGCUAAUCCACUCAGUACUGUGGACUUUGGUUUUAGAGAGCAUUGUUUUCAAGGGUAGUACAGAUAAUCUGCCUCCAACAUAUUCUAUUCUUAGGGCUCUAAAGUCAAAGGAGUUUGUACAGACCCCUCCCUGCUAAGGUAAUUAUGUCCUCUUCAUAUCUUGCAUGAAUGUUUGCUCUUAGAGUGAUGAUCUGAAAUAUCAACAUCCUGCAGGACCUAGUCUGGUCUGGAAGAAGAAGAGAUAUGUCAUCUCUAUGGGCUUUGAUCUUGGUAGGCAUAUUUAUUCACCAGGUACACAAAUGCAACUUUAAACCCUCAGCCACAUUUAGUAAACUAUUUCUUCAUCUGUUGCAGUCUUAUUCUGAUGGGAAAAAUUUCCUCUGUUUUUCAAGUUUAAUUUAUUAUUUUUUCAAAUUACAAGAGCAAUGCAUAUUAUUGUAACCAGAGAGAUAAUGCCAAGAUCGGUAGAGAAAAACUUAAUAAUCUCGACCUCCUAUAACCAUCUCUCUUCCCAUCCCCCUGAGGUAAUAGCAAAUGUUAACAGCCUGCUACCUCUGCACAUCUUCCUUCCUUCAUGAUUUCCCUACACACACACCCAUACACACACGUGCGCAUGCACACACACACCCACUCAAACACACGGUGUACGUCCAGGAGUCAGAAGUGGCUACAGAGAUGGAGUCUUCAUUAUUAAGGUGAGAAAAUGAUAAGACAAAUCACCCUUCUAUUUCUACCUCCAUGGAAAGCUAAAUCUUCCAUUUAUAUUUUUAUAGUCUUUUCAGCACUGUCUUAAUGGUCUUGAGAACAUAUUACCCUGAAAAUGUAAAAAUAGAGCCAAAGAGGUGAAAGCUCCUUGCGUGGCUUCUGACCAGGGAUGGCUGCUUCCAUGGGCUUUAGCUCUGCCAGUUCUCCCUAGACUGGGGCAGGUAGGCAGUGAGGAUUUCAGCAUAUAUUAAGUGCCAAAUAGAAACAAAUAUUUGUUUCUAUUAUUAGAGUAAAACAACAGAAGCCUGUAUUUUGACCAGAGGCCUGGAAUCUACUACUUUGUGAAUUAGCUAAGCAGCCCCAGUUGAACGUGAACCAGCCUGGAACAGAGUGGACUGCAGAGGCAAUAAACAAGGAUGUCGUGAAGACCCUGUUUCUUUCUAGCGUGGCAUCCCAGGAUAAAAUAUACAAUUAAUAGAUACUGGAAGGCACACUUUCUGAUUAUGGAGAAACCAUCAAAUUUGGCCAUGGUUUUGCAUAGGGGCUAGGUUGGAAAUUCAACUAGAACAAUUUAAUGUCUACUGGCAAAGCUUCUUAAUUAUGGAAUGAAAGCUACCUCAAAGUGCCUGGAGGCUUGAGCUGAAUGGUGAGAUCUUCAUUGACCUGACCUCCUCUGUGCUGAAGUUUGCUGACUUGAGGAGACCUCCCCUAAGAACAGACCCUCCCCUCAGGGCUGCCUUCAGCGAUGAUGAUUGACGCUGGCAAGUCAGUCAAGUGGGAAGUUUGCAGCACACACGGCUCAAAGGACUCACCCAGUUUGCCCUGUUGGAGGAUGUUAACCUUUGCACACUAUUUUUGACAUUUAAUUUUUCCUUCCAUUUAGUGCAUGACUCUUUUUUUGUCUUUCUAGUAAAUUCAUUUAGUUAGUAUUAUUCUUUGCCUAUUUUGUCUUUUAAACUUCUGGUUUUUAAUCUUUCGUAUUUUAUAUUAUUUAUUCUUGGUGUUCAUGCUUCUUAUUCUCUUUUCUGCUAUUUUAUCUUAUUGUUGUGAUAAUAGUAUAUUUGCAGUAAGCUCCUUUUACUAACUUCAUUUAUUUCUACAUAAUGUUUUAUCUGGCUUUGACCACAACUAUAUAAGGGGACAGCAAAGUGGAGCCACAAAUGGGAAGAUUGUGAAGAGGGCCCUUGACCAAAUAAAGAGGAAACCUUUUCCCUGAAGAGGACUUUUCAGCAACCCAACUAAUUCACUCAUUUUUCUCAAAGUUGAAUUUUCUUCCACAAAAACCCCUUGACUUUGUUAUUGAGUAGAUCCUCAGGCCUAGGAAAAUAAUGUCUACAUCGACCAAGGAGAUAUCUGAACUACCAGUACUUCCUGCAGCAUCUUUGUUUUGGUUGGCCUGGGCAGGUGGUGGGGCACGGGGGUGAAGGGAGGGGUCUGAGGUGGGUAGAAAACAAGGGUAUCCCCAGGGCUAUGGGAGGAAGGUCUAGUGGACUGGAACCAUUGUAUCUGUCGAUUAGUGGAGGCAAUCAUAUUUGUGAUCCUUGAGCUAAUGGUCUAGUAAGACUAUAAACUUGUUCAUAAUUAAAGCUGGCAAGAGGGUUCUUACCCCAGGUAAUGAGACAAGAGUGAACCACAGGAGGAAGCCAGCACAGAGACCGUAUGUAAUGAGUCCCUUCAUGGGAAAGGGAUGGAAAACAGUCCUCAGGCUAGCAGCAGAGGGAGUGCUGUCUGUUGUGGGUCUUGACCUGCUUAAGAGGUCUGACUUGAGGUGAGGCUGAAAGACAGCCCCGCUGGGGGCUUCAAGAUAACGAUGGACGGAUAGAGUUCUCUCACCGCUGAAUAUCUCCUAAGGCAUUAGUAAAACACUAUUUAAAUAUUUCCUCUGUAACUCAGUUGUGCUAUUAAAGCUCUGUUUCUCAAAGUAGGUCUGUAGAUGUUCUUGAGAGAGUGAGUGUUUCAUGAGAAUUUUCAAAUUUUCUGCUUUCGUUUUGAAGAUAAUCUUAAAGAAAUAAAAUCAAAAUGUUCUACUACAUUAUUUUUAGUGCUGAAGGCUGAGUUUGGUGCCAAAUGAAGAACAAAUAACAUCACGGCAUGCUAUGGAAAUGUCGAUUUUGCAUUAAGUUUGAAUAGAGAAAGAUGUGGGAAAAUUGAUCAAUUUUGUGGCCCAAAGGUAGUACAGACAUCAUUAGUUCAAAAUGUCUUCUGUCAUAGCAGUGGCAUAUCAUGUUGAGAAGUUAUUGUGAGACAUACCAACUUGAACUGUCAUUCAAUAGCAGGAAAGAAUACUGUUAUUUUUAUUCAAUAGUAUUUUUAAUGUUAAUCUUCAGUAUUUUUAUUAUUAUGUACUUAUUGUGGUGCACUAUUAAAUUUAUCAGCCCCUCAAACUAAUGGAUUAGUAGUUAAACAAGCUUAUUUACCAAAAACGAUUAAUCCUACGAUAACUUGAAGAAAGACUUAAGAUAUGCUUCCAGUAUUGUUCAAAGUCAAAAGAAUCAAGAGGACAGAAAGUGAAGCAUAAAACAUACAAAUAGUAGGUGUAUUAAACCCAACGCCAGCAAUUUAGUUCCAGCAAAAUAUCAUUUAUCACACUGAUGUUUUCUAUAUGAACUCUAGUGGCUUUUGUAUGUUUGCUUGUUUUUAAUUUGCAGCUUUGCUUGAGUUUUGAAGUAAUUUAAGAGCUAUAUGUAUGGGAAAUUUAUAUCUGUUCAUUUUGAAGUAACACAAUAAAAAUAAUGUAGAGCAACAGUA
rnacentral:lncRNA from 1 species